AUUGAACGCUGGCGGCAGGCUUAACACAUGCAAGUCGAGCAGGGUGAUGGUGCUUGCACUAUCACUUAGCGGCGGACGGGUGAGUAAUGCUUAGGAAUCUGCCUAUUAGUGGGGGACAACAUCUCGAAAGGGAUGCUAAUACCGCAUACGUCCUACGGGAGAAGGCAGGGGAUCACUUGUGACCUUGCGCUAAUAGAUGAGCCUAAGUCGGAUUAGCUAGUUGGUGGGGUAAAGGCCUACCAAGGCGACGAUCUGUAGCGGGUCUGAGAGGAUGAUCCGCCACACUGGGACUGAGACACGGCCCAGACUCCUACGGGAGGCAGCAGUGGGGAAUAUUGGACAAUGGGGGGAACCCUGAUCCAGCCAUGCCGCGUGUGUGAAGAAGGCCUUAUGGUUGUAAAGCACUUUAAGCGAGGAGGAGGCUCUUUUGGUUAAUACCCAAGAUGAGUGGACGUUACUCGCAGAAUAAGCACCGGCUAACUCUGUGCCAGCCGCCGCGGUAA
rnacentral:rRNA from 1 species